CUAGAAUAUAUCCAAUGCUUU
rnacentral:siRNA from 1 species